AAAAUUUAAUUUACGUAUGACAGUUAAUACAGUACGACAUUAAAUUUGCAUGUGUCGUAUAUCUCUAUAAUAGCAGAAAUCUUUUCAAUAGCAGAAAAAUGCCAAUCAUCGAAAUAAAGGAAGUUAUAAAAAAUUUAUAAUAAAGAAAAAGGAGGUUAAAGUUCAGCAAAGUAUAAAGAGACCUACAAAAGAAAAUCUGCAUAUUUUUUUGUCGACCGUAAUCGUAUGCUUGGAACUUGCCCGAGUUUACUUCCUGAAUGUAAUGCAACACGGUUUUGAUUGAAGUACCGGAUGGUAAGUGAGCCAAGAUCAUGGGCAAUAAAGUCUAGGGAGCAUAAAAACCGAUGAUCAGGAAAAUUAUGUCACUGCAGAUCUGUUUUGUAAAGGGAUCGAAGUUGCAUCCCACUCUCGUCAGAUA